CAAUAGCGUAUAUUAAAGUUGUUGCGGUUAAAAAGCUCGUAGUUGGAUUUCUGUUGGGAACGACCGGUCCGCCCAUUGGGUGUGUAUCUGGCUUGUUCUCGGCAUCUUCUUGGUGAACGUUGCUGCACUUGACUGUGUGGAGCGCUACCCAGGACUUUUACUUUGAGGAAAUUAGAGUGUUUCAAGCAGGCAUAUGCCUUGAAUACAUUAGCAUGGAAUAAUAAGAUAGGACCUCGGUUCUAUUUUGUUGGUUUCUAGAGCUGAGGUAAUGAUUAAUAGGGAUAGUUGGGGGCAUUCGUAUUUAACUGUCAGAGGUGAAAUUCUUGGAUUGGUUAAAGACGGACUACUGCGAAAGCAUUUGCCAAGGAUGUUUUCAUUGA
rnacentral:rRNA from 1 species